AACGAACGCUGGCGGCAUGCCUAACACAUGCAAGUCGAGCGAGACCUUCGGUCCUAGCGGCGCACGGGUGCGUAACGCGUGGGAACGUGCCCUUUGGUUCGGAAUAGCUCUGCGAAAGUGGUACUAAUACCGGAUGAGCCCUUUGGGCGAAAGAUUUAUCGCCUCAGGAUGGGCCCGCGUUGGAUUAGGUAGUUGGUAGGGUAAUAGCCUACCAAGCCGACGAUCCAUAGCUGGUCUGAGAGGAUGAUCAGCCACACUGGGACUGAGACACGGCCCAGACUCCUACGGGAGGCAGCAGUGGGGAAUCUUGGACAAUGGGCGAAACCCUGAUCUAGCCAUGCCGCGUGAGCGAUGAAGGCCUUAGGGUUGUAAAGCUCUUUCAGCUGGGAAGAUAAUGACGGUACCAGCAGAAGAAGCCACGGCUAACUCCGUG
rnacentral:rRNA from 1 species